GCAAGUCGAGCGGUAACAGGAAGUAGCUUGCUCUUGGCUGACGAGUGGCGGACGGGUGAGUAAUGCAUAGGAAUCUGCCCUUUAGUGGGGGACAACUUGGGGAAACUCAAGCUAAUACCGCAUAAUACCCACGGGUUAAAGGUGGCCUCUUCUUGAAAGCUAUCGCUAAAGGAUGAGCCUAUGUUGGAUUAGCUAGUUGGUAAGGUAAAAGCUUACCAAGGCGACGAUCCAUAGCUGGUCUGAGAGGACGAUC
rnacentral:rRNA from 1 species